UAGUAAAGAGAAGAAAAAAACAAUGGAUCCAUAUGCUUUUAUGCCAUUUGGAACAGGCCCAAGGAACUGCAUCGGAAUGCGAUUUGCCCUCCUUAACAUGAAGUUGGCACUUGCAUCAUUACUGCAAAACUUCUCCAUUGAACCUUGCAAAGAAACUCCGAUCCCACUGGAAAUCUCAAAAACAGGCUUAAUGGCCCCUAAAAAGCCUGUUUUUCUCAGAUUUGUCUGCCGACCUAAAGCAAAAGCAACAUAAUGAAGUGUCAGCAUUUUUUAAGUAUAUCUGAUGACAUAUUAAUUUCAAAAGACAUUCAUAAUAACACCAAAGCAUCUGCUAACAGUCCAGUAACACUGCUUAUCAUCAUCUGGAUUCAUUUUGUUUAAUUUUGUUAGUUUAACACAAUGGAACAACACGUAUUAUAGUGUGACAGUACAGAUACAACAUUUAAAGGUAGCACUAUCAGCACUUCUAUCCCGAAUGCUAAAGAAAUGCCACUUGCAAGCAGCAGAACAUAUGUGAAAUCUGAAAUCUGGUACAAUAUUAUGGCUUCCUGUUGUUAUUUGAACAGAAGCAGGACUCCUGAAAGACUGUGAUGAAAGAAGAUAUUCCUAACCAGCAAGGCUGACAGCCAUGGACUCAGAAACAUGUAUUUCAGCAAAUGGGAAAUCAUAUGAAUCUAACACAUUUGUCAUGUGCUUCAAAGGUAUAUUACUUUCCGUAGUGUUUUUGAGUUAGCAGUCAUAUGUUUAUAUUCCUCUGUACCACAUUGCUUCCUUAUAUCUGCACUGAUUUUGUUUAUUAUAUUUGGCCUGCAUCUAUAUAAAUUUUCAGUCAUUGUUUUACAUCAUAUUUAUCUGUGGUUUCUAACAGCAUGUAGUGACUUUUGAUUUAUUAAAACUAUUAUGUACUUUUUUGUGA